UACGUAGGGCGCAAGCGUUGUCCGGAAUUAUUGGGCGUAAAGAGCUCGUAGGCGGUUUGUCGCGUCUGCUGUGAAAACCUAAGGCUCAACCUUGGGCUUGCAGUGGGUACGGGCAGACUAGAGUGCGGUAGGGGUGACUGGAAUUCCUGGUGUGGCGGUGAAAUGCGCAGAUAUCAGGAGGAACACCGGUGGCGAAGGCGGGUCUCUGGGCAACAACUGACGCUGAGGAGCGAAAGCGUGGGGAGCGAACAGG
rnacentral:rRNA from 1 species